AAUGAAGCUAGAAAGAGCAUCUCCAGCUCCAACAUGCAUAUCUGCCAAAUCUGACCAAUCAAUGGAUCGACCCAUUACGUUCAGCAAUGGAAUGAAGCUAGAAAGAGCAUCUCCAGCUCCAACAUGCAUAUCUGCCAAAUCUGACCAAUCAAUGGAUCGACCCAUUAUGUUCAGCAAUGGCAUGAUGCUAGAAAGAGCAUCUCCAGCUCCAACAUGCAUAUCUGCCAAAUCUGACCAAUCAAUGGAUCGACCCAUUAUGUUC